UCUCGGGUUACCGAAUUCAGAUAAACUCCGAAUGCCAUGUACUUAUACUCGGGAGUCAGACUGCGAGUGAUAAGAUCCGUAGUCGAAAGGGAAACAGCCCAGACCACCAGUUAAGGUCCCCAAAUAUAUGUUAAGUGGAAAAGGAUGUGGGGUUGCUUAGACAACCAGGAUGUUGGCUUAGAAGCAGCCACCAUUGAAAGAGUGCGUAAUAGCUCACUGGUCGAGUGACCCCGCGCCGAAAAUGUACCGGGGCUAAACAUAUUACCGAAACUGUGGAUGAACCUCUUUAGAGGUUCGUGGUAGGAGAGCGUUCUAAGGGCGGUGAAGUCAGACCGGAAGGACUGGUGGAGCGCUUAGAAGUGAGAAUGCCGGUAUGAGUAGCGAAAGAAGGGUGAGAAUCCCUUCCACCGAAUAUCUAAGGUUUCCUGAGGAAGGCUCGUCCGCUCAGGGUUAGUCGGGACCUAAGCCGAGGCCGAUAGGCGUAGGCGAUGGACAACAGGUAGAGAUUCCUGUACCAGUGCUAAUUGUUUAACCGAUGGGGUGACACAGAAGGAUAGGGAAUCGCACGAAUGGAAAUGUGCGUCCAAGCAGUGAGUGUGAGAAGUAGGCAAAUCCGCUUCUCGCGAAGCAUGAGCUGUGAUGGGGAAGGAAAUUAAGUACGGAAGUUCCUGAUUUCACGCUGUCAAGAAAAGCCUCUAGGAAGAGUAGUACUGCCCGUACCGCAAACCGACACAGGUAGAUGAGGAGAGAAUCCUAAGGUGAGCGAGAGAACUCUCGUUAAGGAACUCGGCAAAAUGACCCCGUAACUUCGGGAGAAGGGGUGCUCUAUUAGGGUGCAAGCCCGAGAGAGCCGCAGUGAAUAGGCCCAGGCGACUGUUUAGCAAAAACACAGGUCUCUGCAAAACCGUAAGGUGACGUAUAGGGGCUGACGCCUGCCCGGUGCUGGAAGGUUAAGAGGAGUGCUUAGCUUCGGCGAAGGUACGAAUUGAAGCCCCAGUAAACGGCGGCCGUAACUAUAACGGUCCUAAGGUAGCGAAAUUCCUUGUCGGGUAAGUUCCGACCCGCACGAAAGGCGCAACGAUCUGGGCACUGUCUCAACGAGAGACUCGGUGAAAUUAUAGUACCUGUGAAGAUGCAGGUUACCCGCGACAGGACGGAAAGACCCCGUGGAGCUUUACUGCAACCUGAUAUGGAAUGUUUGUACCGCUUGUACAGGAUAGGUAGGAGCCGAAGAGACGUGUGCGCUAGCAUACGAGGAGGCAAUGGUGGGAUACUACCCUGGCUGUAUGACCAUUCUAACCCGCCACGCUUAGCGCGUGGGGAGACAGUGUCAGGUGGGCAGUUUGACUGGGGCGGUCGCCUCCUAAAGAGUAACGGAGGCGCCCAAAGGUUCCCUCAGAAUGGAUGGAAAUCAUUCGCAGAGUGUAAAGGCACAAGGGAGCUUGACUGCGAGACUGACAAGUCGAGCAGGGACGAAAGUCGGGCUUAGUGAUCCGGUGGUUCCGCAUGGAAGGGCCAUCGCUCAACGGAUAAAAGCUACCCCGGGGAUAACAGGCUUAUCUCCCCCAAGAGUCCACAUCGACGGGGAGGUUUGGCACCUCGAUGUCGGCUCGUCGCAUCCUGGGGCUGUAGUCGGUCCCAAGGGUUGGGCUGUUCGCCCAUUAAAGCGGCACGCGAGCUGGGUUCAGAACGUCGUGAGACAGUUCGGUCCCUAUCCGUCGCGGGCGCAGGAAAUUUGAGAGGAGCUGUCCUUAGUACGAGAGGACCGGGAUGGACACACCGCUGGUGUACCAGUUGUUCCGCCAGGAGCAUCGCUGGGUAGCUAUGUGUGGCAGGGAUAAACGCUGAAAGCAUCUAAGCGUGAAGCCCCCCUCAAGAUGAGAUUUCCCAUUUCUUCGGAAAGUAAGAUCCCUGAAAGAUGAUCAGGUAGAUAGGUUUGGAGUGGAAGUGUAGCGAUACAUGGAGCGGACAAAUACUAAUCGAUCGAGGACUUAACCAAAA
rnacentral:rRNA from 1 species